CCUACGGGGGGCAGCAGUGAGGAAUAUUGGUCAAUGGGCGAGAGUCUGAACCAGCCAAGUAGCGUGAAGGAUGACUGCCCUAUGGGUUGUAAACUUCUUUUAUAAAGGAAUAAAACGAGGCACGUGUGCCUGUUUGCAUGUACUUUAUGAAUAAGGAUCGGCGAACUCCGUGCCAGCAGCCGCGGUAAUACGGAGGAUCCGAGCGUUAUCCGGAUUUAUUGGGUUUAAAGGGAGCGUAGAUGGGUUGUUAAGUCAGUUGUGAAAGUUUGCGGCUCAACCGUAAAAUUGCAAUUGAUACUGGCAGUCUUGAGUACAGUUGAGGUAGGCGGAAUUCGUGGUGUAGCGGUGAAAUGCUUAGAUAUCACGAAGAACCCCGAUUGCGAAGGCAGCUUACUAAACUGUGACUGACAUUGAUGCUCGAAAGUGUGGGUAUCAAACAGGAUUAGAUACCCUUGUAGUC
rnacentral:rRNA from 1 species